rnacentral:misc_RNA from 1 species
GUUGAGUUGAGUUGAGUUAGAUUAGACUCAUUAUGAAUUUAGACUUCAGUUAAUUAUGGUUUAUUUUAUCAUCGGACGUAUUAGUAUGCCUACAUUACAUGUUUAUUUUUACCAGAGCACACUGCACUAGUUUUUUAUUUUUUUCCUGAUACACUUUUCUGGUUAUUCCGAGAUGCUGGUAACUAUCCUCUAAUUUGUAUUUCUGUUCUUCCCUAUAUUAAUAAAAUCUUCUUCUUUUGUUUAGAGAAAUUGCAUAACCAACUCACCAACUAUAAGACCAGAAUAUGUUAAAAUUUUAAAGCUUAAAAACAACAAAUAUGAAUAGAAAUAAAAGAAAGGAGGUUGCAGGAUUGAAACCCAGACCACCUAUAUUGCAAGGCAAGCACUCGACCAUAGGCUACUAACCAAAUGCACCAGGUCACACUAUGAUAUUUCACUUGUUUGCACUUUUUAUCGUCAAUUUCACAAUUACAUGUGAAAUGAAAAAUCUUCCUUCAUCUUUAAAAUACACCAUUUACGUCCCCUCACUCCCCACCCCCCCAACAAAAAUACACACACAAAAAUAGAAUAAAGUAAAAUAAAA